ACUCAAAUGAAUUGACGGGGACCCGCACAACUGGUGGAGCGUGUGGUUUAAUUUGAGACGAAGCAAAAAACCUUACCAGGGUUUGACAUGCUAGCGUUCUAUUCUCUAGAAACAGAGGAAAUCCGUAAGGAGGCUAGCACAGGUGCUGCAUGGCUGUCGUCAGCUCGUGCCGUGAGGUGUUCCCUUAAGUGGGGAAACGAGCGCAACCCGCGUCUAAUGUUACAUAUUCAUUAGAUACAGCCCCGAUCAUAUCGGGGAGGAAGGAGCGGUAGAUGUCAAGUCAGCAUGGUCCUUACACCCUGGGAUACACACACCCUACAAUGGCGAAUAACAAUGAGCAGCAAGCUAGUAAUAGCAAGCAAAUCUCACAAAUUUCGCCUCAGUUCAGAUUGGGGGCUGCAACCCGCCCCCAUGAAGUCGGAAUCAGUAGUAAUCGCGAAUCAGCAGGUCGCGGUGAAUACGUUCUCGGGUCUUGUACACACCGCCCGU
rnacentral:rRNA from 1 species